UACGAAGGGGGCUAGCGUUGUUCGGAAUCACUGGGCGUAAAGGGUGCGUAGGCGGGUCUUUAAGUCAGGGGUGAAAUCCUGGAGCUCAACUCCAGAACUGCCUUUGAUACUGAGGAUCUUGAGUUCGGGAGAGGUGAGUGGAACUGCGAGUGUAGAGGUGAAAUUCGUAGAUAUUCGCAAGAACACCAGUGGCGAAGGCGGCUCACUGGCCCGAUACUGACGCUUAGGCACGAAAGCGUGGGGAGCAAACAGG
rnacentral:rRNA from 1 species